rnacentral:rRNA from 1 species
CAAGGAAUCUUCCGCAAUGGGCGAAAGCCUGACGGAGCAACGCCGCGUGUGGGAUGACGCCUUUCGGGGUGUAAACCACUUUUCUCAGGGAAGAAGCACUGACGGUACCUGAGGAAUAAGGACCGGCUAACUACGUGCCAGCAGCCGCGGUAAUACGUAGGGUCCGAGCGUUGUCCGGAGUUACUGGGCGUAAAGCGCGCGCAGGCGGCGGUGUAAGCAUGGCGUGAAAGCCCCAGGCUUAACCUGGGAGGGUCGUCGUGGACUGCACCGCCUGGGGGGGGGAGGGGCGGGUGGAAUGCCUCGGGUAGUGGUGAAAUGCGUAGAGAUCAGGCGGAACACCCGUGGCGAAGGCGGCCAGCUGGGCCGUCCCUGACGCUGAGGCGCGAAGGCGUGGGGAGCGAACGGG